GAAUCUACCCUUAGGUUCGGAAUAACAGUUGGAAACGACUGCUAAUACCGGAUGAUGACGUAAGUCCAAAGAUUUAUCGCCUAGGGAUGAGCCCGCGUAGGAUUAGCUAGUUGGUGUGGUAAAGGCGCACCAAGGCGACGAUCCUUAGCUGGUCUGAGAGGAUGAUCAGCCACACUGGGACUGAGACACGGCCCAGACUCCUACGGGAGGCAGCAGUGGGGAAUAUUGGACAAUGGGCGAAAGCCUGAUCCAGCAAUGCCGCGUGAGUGAUGAAGGCCUUAGGGUUGUAAAGCUCUUUUACCCGGGAUGAUAAUGACAGUACCGGGAGAAUAAGCUCCGGCUAACUCCGUGCCAGCAGCCGCGGUAAUACGGAGGGAGCUAGCGUUAUUCGGAAUUACUGGGCGUAAAGCGCACGUAGGCGGCUUUGUAAGUAAGAGGUGAAAGCCUGGUGCUCAACACCAGAACUGCCUUUUAGASUGCAUCGCUUGAAUCCAGGAGAGGUGAGUGGAAUUCCGAGUGUAGAGGUGAAAUUCGUAGAUAUUCGGAAGAACACCAGUGGCGAAGGCGGCUCACUGGACUGGUAUUGACGGCUGAGGUCGAAAG
rnacentral:rRNA from 1 species